AUUGAACGCUGGCGGCAGGCCUAACACAUGCAAGUCGAACGGUAACAGGAAGAAGCUUGCUUCUUUGCUGACGAGUGGCGGACGGGUGAGUAAUGUCUGGGAAACUGCCUGAUGGAGGGGGAUAACUACUGGAAACGGUAGCUAAUACCGCAUAAUGUCGCAAGACCAAAGAGGGGGUCCUUCGGGCCUCUUGCCAUCGGAUGUGCCCAGAUGGGAUUAGCUAGUAGGUGGGGUAACGGCUCACCUAGGCGACGAUCCCUAGCUGGUCUGAGAGGAUGACCAGCCACACUGGAACUGAGACACGGUCCAGACUCCUACGGGAGGCAGCAGUGGGGAAUAUUGCACAAUGGGCGCAAGCCUGAUGCAGCUAUGCCGCGUGUAUGAAGAAGGCCUUCGGGUUGUAAAGUACUUUCAGCGGGGAGGAAGGGAGUAAAGUUAAUACCUUUGCUCAUUGACGUUACCCGCAGAAGAAGCACCGGCUAACUCCGUG
rnacentral:rRNA from 1 species